UAGCAGCAUGUAAAUAUUGGAGU
rnacentral:miRNA from 1 species